GACGAACGCUGGCGGCGUGCUUAACACAUGCAAGUCGAACGAUGACGGAGAGCUUGCUCUCCGGAUUAGUGGCGAACGGGUGAGUAACACGUGACUAACCUGCCCCUUUCUCUGGGAUAACGCUCCGAAAGGAGUGCUAAUACCUGAUACGAGCUCUGAACACAUGUUCGGAGUUGGAACGUUUUUGGGCAAGGGAUGGAGUCGCGGCCUAUCAGCUUGUUGGUGAGGUAACGGCUCACCAAAGCGACUACGGGUAGCCGGCCUGAGAGGGCGACCGGGCACACUGGGACUGAGACACGGCCCAGACUCCUACGGGAGGCAGCAGUGGGGAAUAGUGCACAAUGGGCGCAAGCCUGAUGCAGCGACGCCGCGUGAGGGAUGAAGGUCUUCGGAUUGUAAACCUCUUUCAGUAGGGACGAAGCGAAAGUGACGGUACCUAAAGAAGAAGCACCGGCUAACUACGUGCCAGCCGCCGCCGUAA
rnacentral:rRNA from 1 species